UACAGAGGUGGCAAGCGUUGUUCGGAAUUACUGGGCGUAAAGGGCUCGUAGGCGGCCAACUAAGUCAGACGUGAAAUCCCUCGGCUUAACCGGGAACUGCGCCUGAAACUACUUGGCUAGAGUACUGGAGAGGGUAACGGAAUUCACGGUGUAGCAGUGAAUGCGUAGAUAUCGUGAGGAACACCAGAGGCGAAGGCGGUACCUGGACAGUUACUGACGCUCAGGCACGAAAGCGUGGGGAGCAAAAGGG
rnacentral:rRNA from 1 species